CAUCCCAGGCGGUAGUUUGGACAAGUGCCGCGUUUACAAGCUAGUCAUCGAGCCGAACGUCAACGCUAGCUGGCUAUCGUGAGUGAUGCUAAAGCUAACUGGCUAUGGGACAGAAGCAGAUUCAGCUGCCCAGACAACAUGGCAGAGUUGGUAUAGUGACGGGAGGCAUCAGUGGAAUCUGCUUUGAGACCGCAAGACACAUGGCCAGCCUGGGGGCACACUUUAUCAUAGCUGGACAGCAGGAGCGGGAGGGUGUGUCUGCUGUGAAGAGGAUUCGUGAGGAGAACAGAGAGGCCAAAGGUCACAGUCCCCACAACCCUGUUUGGUUUUGUGUCUCCUUGGCUCUGGAUAUUACUGAUUGGCUGGAGAGUGAACACACCUUUUCAAAGAGCCCGUCCCAGGCAGCGUCUAUGGUCCUCUACACUUCUCUGUCUCCGUCUCUGGAAGGGGAGAGAGGGGGCUACUGGAGCAACGGACGCACAGAGAUGUCAACACCAAACACCUACCACCCCAGGCUCCAGCUCAGCCUCUGGGACUUCAGCUGCAGACUAGUGAGCUUGCAGGAGCAGCACCAACCAUGACCCCUGACCUCUAACCCCUGAGCUCUUAGUCCAUGACCCUGACACCAACACUGUAUGGCUGAGACCCAACACCUCAUCUGUCAUCCUGCCAUUAUCUUUGUUUUCACAAUCUCCUCACCGCCAGACUGUGAUUGGAUAAAGACUGAUGACCAAGGCUGGACUGUGAUUGGUUAGUGAAGCGGUAAGACCUGUUGCAUACUCUUCAGAUGAAUGGGCUGAUGAAAAUGAACCAACCUUCUCCCUCAGGCACUGUGAACCCACACACACUGUGUUAUGAGUGUUUAUAGUGCUGCUAUGAGUGUUCAUAGUGACCUCUUGAAAAUGUAUAGCAACCUUAUGCCGGUUGGUACACAGAUCAGAACAGAAAGAACCUUCCCUCCAUGGGAAAACUUGAUUUAACCAUAAACAAGUGUCAUCAGUGUGUGUAUGUGUCCGUAUCAGUUAUCAGUGUGUGUGAGUGAUUUUGUCAGUAGCAUCCUGUGUCUAUGAAACAUAUCCUGAUCCCUGCCUGACUGGAUGGUCCAGG
ensembl:lncRNA